rnacentral:sRNA from 1 species
UCAUGGUUCAAGGCCCGUCUAAUGUCGUC